UCACUCGUGGGACUGCUUCUGAUGAAAUUACUCCGUUAACCGUCCGUCACUAACUCAUAUAAUAUAUCAUUCAUUUCAAACAAAAUGUGAUCCAGGAUUAUUAUGAAAAGAAAAAACAUAAAUGGAGAUACAUGUACAUGACUUUCAGCAUUUUAACCUUAAACAACUACAACAUUGCUGGAACUUUAUUUAUCAGGAAAACAGGGAGUGCAAUUUAAUCAGAUAAUACAGGAUCCACAUAAGUUCUGAUAAGAAUACAUAAGGUAGUCAAAAAUAAAAUGAUGCUCCAUAUAUAUUUGUAAACAUGUAUAUAUUUUCAUCAUUUUUUACAAUAUCUAUGCAAACUUCAUCACUGUUUCAUUGAUGAUCUUUCAUCUGUAUUUCCAUUAAUGUAACAUGCUCUUAAUUUUAACCAUAUAUUUUCAUUCUGAAAUUUAAAAAAAUAAAAAGAUGUGGAAAAUCUGAGAUUUGAUAAGGAGAGGGAACGACGGAUAAUGGAAGCUGGAGGAUCAUCAUUGUUCAUUCUCUUGUUUCUUUAAGUUUGUAAAAUCAUAUUCAGGAGAAAAUAUGCCUUAUUUUAUCACAUAAUCAUGUCAUUUGAUGUUGUAUGAAAGAGAAAGCUUGUUACUAUAUACAUUUACAUGAAUGUACUAUAAUUUACAUAUUUAUGAUAGUGUGUACUGGAUUUCAGUUAUACCUGUGCCAUUUCCAUGUAAAUUUCCAUGAUCCUUUUGUAUGUAUUUUGUACCUAUCAUUUUUACAAUGUAAACAUGACUGUAUAUAGAUCUAUAAACCUGCCUAAAC
rnacentral:misc_RNA from 1 species